UACGGAGGGUGCAAGCGUUAUCCGGAUUUACUGGGUUUAAAGGGUGCGCAGGCGGAUAUGUAAGUCAGUGGUGAAAUCUCCGGGCUUAACCCGGAAACUGCCGUUGAUACUAUAUAUCUUGAAUGCCGUGGAGGUAAGCGGAAUAUGUCAUGUAGCGGUGAAAUGCUUAGAUAUGACAUAGAACACCAAUUGCGAAGGCAGCUGGCUACACAUAUAUUGACACUGAGGCACGAAAGCGUGGGGAUCAAACAGG
rnacentral:rRNA from 1 species